CUUUACACGAAUUCUGAUACUCUUUCACAAGUAUCAUGUCGUCAAGCGAAGUUCACUAUAUUCCUUACUAACACCGCUUCUUCCACCAAGCCAGCUUAACGCUCGGCCUCCUACCGUGCUGUGUGCCUACCACGUUAGCAAUCAGCUCGGUUAAUCGCGUUCGCUUCCAAAGGAUGUGAAAUGGUUCUGUCUGCGUAUCUAUGGGUUGUGGCAUAGUAUCGGUUGAUCGGACGACAGCCGUGAUGGCGGGGUGGCGACGGCUAAGUAUUUAAUCACGUGAUCCCCCCCGUCAAAAUAGCCUACAUGUUACUACACCCACAUGGACAGAAGUGCUUUUAUUCCGCGUUCAUUGUCAGGGCAAACUUAACACGUGUUGUACAUAUACAUUACGAUUUCGUUAUGUCAAUAAUAGUUUAUUUUUUGUAUAGAAAAUAAAAGUUUCUUUAUAACACAGAUUUAA